rnacentral:rRNA from 1 species
GACGUAGGGCGCGAGCGUUGUCCGGAUUUAUUGGGCGUAAAGAGCUCGUAGGCGGUUUGUCGCGUCGGUUGUGAAAUUUUAGGGCUCAACCCUGACAUUGCAUCCGAUACGGGCAGGCUAGAGUUCGGUAGGGGAGACUGGAAUUCCUGGUGUAGCGGUGAAAUGCGCAGAUAUCAGGAGGAACACCGGUGGCGAAGGCGGGUCUCUGGGCCGUAACUGACGCUGAGGAGCGAAAGCGUGGGGAGCGAACAGG